AAUGUUUACAAUCUAAGAGUGCAUGUGUUAUAUGUUUGACUUGGUUUAUAAUUCUGAUUAUUAAUAAGAUACAGUAAUAAAUUGUGUGAUAAGAAGUCUUUUGUGAUAUUUGGAUAUAAUGUUUCCUGGAGAUUUAGAGUGUAAAUAUUUUGUUACAUAUGGCCGAUUGUUUGUAAACCAACGAAAUGGUGAGAACAGUUCGUCCCUAGUUUCAGUGUCUAACUUCGUUUGAGACACGGUUUUCCAGUAUUAACAAAAGAGUGAAACAUGUGCAGAAAUGUUAUUACCACAUUGCCGCAUUCAUUUUACUUUAUGUGUUUAUUCUGAUCGUUUCAAAACCGUUUCCAAUUGUUUUGAAAAUAAAUAGAUUAUUUAAAGUGAUUAUGUGUAAAAUGAAAAUUAAAUAAUAGAAUGGAUAAUUACAUUAAAUUAGAGUAUAUUUUAUUGAGAGAUCGAUACCAAUAUUUCUUAAAUUUUCCUCUGGCCUGGCCAAAACAAGAUUCAGAAAUAUCUAUAUCUAUGUAAAAAUUUUAUCAAGGCAGAAUUGUGGUGGCCCAAUGUGUCCCGGUGCUAAAAUAAAGCACCUUGAAAGGAUGCGGCACAAUAAUAACCAAGACAAAAAUUAAACACUGCAAAUAUAUUCGUAAGUUUCUCUACGUUGUCUGCCGGCGCGAUGUUUAUUAAAACAAAGACAUUAGCAACGAGACUAGCUACCCAAUACGCAUAGGCUUACAAAUAUAU